rnacentral:rRNA from 1 species
UACAGAGGGGGCAAGCGUUGUUCGGAAUUACUAGGCGUAAAGGGCGCGUAGGCGGCCCGUCAAGUCCCGUGAUGAAGCCCCCGGCUCAACCGGGGAACUGCACGGGAAACUAGCAGGCUUGAGUUCGGGAGAGGGAAGCGGAAUUUGCGGGUGUAGCGGUGAAAUGCGCAGAUAUCCGAAGGAACACCGGUGGCGAAGGCGGCUUCCUGGACCGACACUGACGCUGAGGCGCGAAAGCUAGGGGAGCAAACGGG